rnacentral:rRNA from 1 species
UGGGGAAUCUUGCGCAAUGGGCGAAAGCCUGACGCAGCGACGCCGCGUGAGUGAUGAAGGCCUUCGGGUUGUAAAGCUCUGUGGGGAGAGAAGAAUAAGUGCGGGCUAAUACUCCGCAUGAUGACGGUAUCUCCUUAGCAAGCACCGGCUAACUCUGUGCCAGCAGCCGCGGUAAGACAGAGGGUGCAAACGUUGUUCGGAAUUACUGGGCGUAAAGCGAGUGUAGGCGGUUUGGUAAGUCGGAUGUGAAAGCCCCGGGCUCAACCCGGGAAGUGCACUCGAUACUGCCAAGCUAGAGUAUCGGAGAGGUUGGUGGAAUUCUCGGUGUAGAGGUGAAAUUCGUAGAUAUCGAGAGGAACACCGGUGGCGAAGGCGGCCAACUGGACGAAUACUGACGCUGAGACUCGAAAGCGUGGGGAGCAAACA